UGGGGAAUAUUGGACAAUGGGCGAAAGCCUGAUCCAGCCAUGCCGCGUGUGUGAAGAAGGUCUUCGGAUUGUAAAGCACUUUAAGUUGGGAGGAAGGGCAGUAAGCGAAUACCUUGCUGUUUUGACGUUACCGACAGAAUAAGCACCGGCUAACUCUGUGCCAACAGCCGCGGUAAUACAGAGGGUGCAAGCGUUAAUCGGAAUUACUGGGCGUAAAGCGCGCGUAGGUGGUUCGUUAAGUUGAAUGUGAAAGCCCCGGGCUCAACCUGGGAACUGCAUCCAAAACUGGCGAGCUAGAGUAGGGCAGAGGGUGGUGGAAUUUCCUGUGUAGCGGUGAAAUGCGUAGAUAUAGGAAGGAACACCAGUGGCGAAGGCGACCACCUGGGCUCAUACUGACACUGAGGUGCGAAAGCGUGGGGAGCAAACAGG
rnacentral:rRNA from 1 species